ACAGCAGCAGCCGCGGGAAUACGGAGGGUGCAAGCGUUAAUCGGAAUUACUGGGCGUAAAGCGUGCGUAGGCGGUUCGUUAAGUCUGCUGUGAAAGCCCCGGGCUCAACCUGGGAAUGGCAGUGGAUACUGGCGAGCUAGAGUGUGUCAGAGGAUGGUGGAAUUCCCGGUGUAGCGGUGAAAUGCGUAGAGAUCGGGAGGAACAUCAGUGGCGAAGGCGGCCAUCUGGUACAACACUGACGCUGAGGCACGAAAGCGUGGGGAGCAAACAGGAUUAGAUACCCCAGUAGUCCCUGUCUCUUAUAC
rnacentral:rRNA from 1 species